GAUGAACGCUGGCGGCGUGCCUAAUACAUGCAAGUCGAGCGAACGGACGAGAAGCUUGCUUCUCUGAUGUUAGCGGCGGACGGGUGAGUAACACGUGGAUAACCUGCCUAUAAGACUGGGAUAACUUCGGGAAACCGUAGCUAAUACCGGAUAAUAUUUUGAACCGCAUGGUUCAAAAGUGAAAGACGGUCUUGCUGUCACUUAUAGAUGGAUCCGCGCUGCAUUAGCUAGUUGGUAAGGUAACGGCUUACCAAGGCAACGAUGCAUAGCCGACCUGAGAGGGUGAUCGGCCACACUGGAACUGAGACACGGUCCAGACUCCUACGGGAGGCAGCAGUAGGGAAUCUUCCGCAAUGGGCGAAAGCCUGACGGAGCAACGCCGCGUGAGUGAUGAAGGUCUUCGGAUCGUAAAACUCUGUUAUUAGGGAAGAACAUAUGUGUAAGUAACUGUGCACAUCUUGACGGUACCUAAUCAGAAAGCCACGGCUAACUACGUGCCAGCAGCCGCGGUAAUACGUAGGUGGCAAGCGUUAUCCGGAAUUAUUGGGCGUAAAGCGCGCGUAGGCGGUUUUUUAAGUCUGAUGUGAAAGCCCACGGCUCAACCGUGGAGGGUCAUUGGAAACUGGAAAACUUGAGUGCAGAAGAGGAAAGUGGAAUUCCAUGUGUAGCGGUGAAAUGCGCAGAGAUAUGGAGGAACACCAGUGGCGAAGGCGACUUUCUGGUCUGUAACUGACGCUGAUGUGCGAAAGCGUGGGGAUCAAACAGGAUUAGAUACCCUGGUAGUCCACGCCGUAAACGAUGAGUGCUAAGUGUUAGGGGGUUUCCGCCCCUUAGUGCUGCAGCUAACGCAUUAAGCACUCCGCCUGGGGAGUACGACCGCAAGGUUGAAACUCAAAGGAAUUGACGGGGACCCGCACAAGCGGUGGAGCAUGUGGUUUAAUUCGAAGCAACGCGAAGAACCUUACCAAAUCUUGACAUCCUUUGACAACUCUAGAGAUAGAGCCUUCCCCUUCGGGGGACAAAGUGACAGGUGGUGCAUGGUUGUCGUCAGCUCGUGUCGUGAGAUGUUGGGUUAAGUCCCGCAACGAGCGCAACCCUUAAGCUUAGUUGCCAUCAUUAAGUUGGGCACUCUAAGUUGACUGCCGGUGACAAACCGGAGGAAGGUGGGGAUGACGUCAAAUCAUCAUGCCCCUUAUGAUUUGGGCUACACACGUGCUACAAUGGACAAUACAAAGGGCAGCGAAACCGCGAGGUCAAGCAAAUCCCAUAAAGUUGUUCUCAGUUCGGAUUGUAGUCUGCAACUCGACUACAUGAAGCUGGAAUCGCUAGUAAUCGUAGAUCAGCAUGCUACGGUGAAUACGUUCCCGGGUCU
rnacentral:rRNA from 1 species